CUGCUGUUGUGCUGGUGAUAGGCGUUUGUGAAGGAUCUUGCCCGAUCGAGUGUCUUCGGCUUCCUCCCGCAGGAAAUUGGACGCUAGCUGGUGCAGAUAAUAGCCACGAGGACUGUUGGCAGCCAUGUCUGCCGCCAGUGUCUGGGCAUGGGCCUUGUUUAAUGG
rnacentral:miRNA from 1 species